rnacentral:tRNA from 1 species
GGCACUUUGGCCGAGUGGUCUAAGGCGCCGUGUUCAGGCCUAGAUUCGCUCUCGCAGCGUAUCUUCUUCUUCGCGGUCUAGUAAUAGGCGAGGGUUCGAAUCCCUCAGGUGUCA